rnacentral:rRNA from 1 species
GGAUGAACGCUGGCGGCGUGCUUAACACAUGCAAGUCGAACGAAGCACCUUGAUUCGAUUCUUCGGAUGAAGAUCUUGGUGACUGAGUGGCGGACGGGUGAGUAACGCGUGGGUAACCUGCCUCAUACAGGGGGAUAACAGUUAGAAAUGACUGCUAAUACCGCAUAAGACCACAGCACCGCAUGGUGCAGGGGUAAAAACUCCGGUGGUAUGAGAUGGACCCGCGUCUGAUUAGGUAGUUGGUGGGGUAACGGCCUACCAAGCCGACGAUCAGUAGCCGACCUGAGAGGGUGACCGGCCACAUUGGGACUGAGACACGGCCCAAACUCCUACGGGAGGCAGCAGUGGGGAAUAUUGCACAAUGGGGGAAACCCUGAUGCAGCGACGCCGCGUGAGCGAUGAAGUAUUUCGGUAUGUAAAGCUCUAUCAGCAGGGAAGAAAAUGACGGUACCUGACGAAGAAGCACCGGCUAAAUACGUG